rnacentral:rRNA from 1 species
CUUACACAUGCAUGUCAGAGAACAUUCCCUUCGGGGAACUAUUAAACUGGCGAACGGGUAGUACACGUAGGCAACCUGCCUUGGAGAUUGGGAUAACCCCGGGAAACCGGGACUAAUACCGGGUAAUGCAGCGGCUUCUUCGGAAGAUGUUGUUAAAGCGGGCUUCGGCUCGUGCUUUAGGAUGGGCCUGCGUCCGAUUAGCUUGUUGGUAAGGUAAAGGCUUACCAAGGCAAUGAUCGGUAGCUGGUCUGAGAGGAUGAUCAGCCACACUGGGAUUGAGAUACGGCCCAGACCACCACGGUGGGCAGCAGUAAGGAAUUUUGCGCAAUGGGGGAAACCCUGACGCAGCAACGCCGCGUGACCGAUGAAGCUUCUAGGAGCGUAAAGGUCUGUCGUAAGGGAAGAAAAGUUUAGAUGUCAAUAAUGUUUGAACCUGACGGUACCUUACAAGAAAGCACCGGCUAACUUCGUGCCAGCAGACGCGGUAAUACGAGGGGUGCAAGCGUUGUCCGGAAUCACUGGGCGUAAAGGGUCCGUAGGCGUCUCACAACGUCAUUUGUUAAAUACACCGGCUUAACCGGUGACCUGCAUUUGAAACUAUUGAGAUCGAGUAUAAGAGAGGAAAGCGGACAUCCUGGUGUAGCGGUGACCUGCGUAGAUAUCAGGAGGAACAACCAAUGACGAAGCAGUCUCGGCCUAUUAUGCGCUGACGGCAGAAGCGU